UAUCUAAGUAUUAGGAAACUUCAGAAUUCAUUACAUAUUAUUCAUUUCAGAAUAUGUACUAGCAAAGAAUAAUCACCUAGCCUAGAGGCACAAAAACGUGAAAGUUUAAGAAACAAUUUUGGGAUUUCAUUUAUGAAAUUUUUCUAUCAUUGAAGGGGGCAAAACGUGGGCAGCAAGAUCAUUAGAGAAUUGGUCUCUUAAUCUCUCAUAGAUUAAGGAUUGGCAUACUAGUUACGACGAGUUCGUUAUUGGAUCGUAUUGGCGACUUGAGGGGCACUGCAUUCAUGCCUGCAAGUACAGAUAGACAGACUAAUAGACCUCCCCAGUAGGCAGGACCUGAUAUCAGCUGAUUGGUGAGCUCCGUUUGUUCGGAGUUGCCAGGUCUUUUGGAGUCUUUCUUUUGUGAUUACAGAUUGGAUGGGUAGGCUAGGGCCUGUCCCGACCAUGAUAUAAUUAUGCUUUCUAGAGGCUUGUAGAUGAGUCCUGUAUAUAGUGUGCCAAUGCGACAGCCUUGUCGGCUUUGUAUAUCUCUAUUUGGGCACGGUUAGUUUUGUAUGGUCAUAGCAGCCUCG